AGCAGCCGCGGUAAUCCCAGCUCCAAUAGCGUAUAUUAAAGUUGUUGCAGUUAAAAAGCUCGUAGUUGAAUUUCGGGAUCAAAUUGUCGGUCGUGCCUCGGUACGUACUGGCGUUAUUGGUUCCUCCCUUCUGAAGAACCGCGAUGUCAUUAAUUUGGUGUCGCGGGGAAUCAGGACUGUUACUUUGAAAAAAUUAGAGUGUUUAAAGCAGGCUCGCGCUUGAAUACAUUAGCAUGGAAUAAUGAAAUAGGACGUUUGAUUCUAUUUUGUUGGUUUCUAGGAUCGACGUAAUGAUUAAUAGGGAUAGUUGGGGGCAUUAGUAUUCAAUUGUCAGAGGUGAAAUUCUUGGAUUUAUUGAAGACUAACUACUGCGAAAGCAUUUGCCAAGGAUGUUUUCAUUAAUCAAGAACGAAAGUUAGGGGAUCGAAGACGAUCAGAUACCGUCGUAGUCUUAACCAUAAACUAUGCCGACUAGGGAUCGGAUGAUGUUAAUUUAAUGACUCA
rnacentral:rRNA from 1 species